UACGAAGGGGGCUAGCGUUGUUCGGAGUUACUGGGCGUAAAGGGCGCGUAGGCGGCUGUCCAAGUCAGGUGUGAAAGCCCGGGGCUCAACCCCGGAAAUGCACUUGAGACUGGGCGGCUUGAGGACGGGAGAGGAUAGUGGAAUUCCCAGUGUAGAGGUGAAAUUCGUAGAUAUUGGGAAGACCCCCUGUGGCGAAGGCGGCUAUCUGGACCGUUUCUGACGCUGAGGCGCGAAAGCGUGGGGAGCAAACAGG
rnacentral:rRNA from 1 species